rnacentral:lncRNA from 1 species
UAAAACAAAUAUCAAUCAUCUCUAAAAAUGAUUGCUGCAAAAUUUGAUAUAGCAUCAAAUUUUGUUGUCUCUGUAAAUCAUCCAUAUUACCUAUAAAACAGAACAAGUGUUUUGAAACUUGAUAUUUUCUCUCAAUCAAACACAGUAUCCCAAAACAGAAAAAAAAAAACACAGGCAGUAGCAAAGAAAACAAAAACAUAGCAGUAGCAGAACAACAACAAAAAAACAUAGCAGAACAGGAGCAAAGAAAACACAGGCAGUAGCAAUAUCCACAUGUAGCAAAUCGAUGGGUUAUAAUCAUAAUAAUAGGCAAUAGUAUUAGGUAGAUAUAAAGACUAUGGAAUAACAGCACAACAACAAAGAACCAAAACCUGUCAAUCCCAAAUCGAUGAGUUACAAAAUAGUAAUAAAAUCAUUGAUCAUUGAUUCAUAAAAGCACAAGAAGUGCUAUUCAAUAAGGAAUAUACAGAGAUACUAAAAAACAACAAGUUCCUCUUCAUAGACAACAUUAAAAACGCAAAUCAUAGGGAAAAAAAACUGCAGUGUACUAUUCAUAGCUAUAUAAAGCAGAAUCGAUUGAUAACAAAAGAGAAAUAAUAAUAAUAGUUGAUGAAUAAAAAACAAUUCAUAGCUAUAUAAAACAAUGAUAAUAAUAGGACCUGUGAGAUGAGAAACGGCAACAGUGGCUAUAAAACAAUUCAUUAGCUAUAAAAUAAUUAUCGGUGUAUACCUAAGAGAUGAGAAACGGCAACAGUAGGAGAAGAGAGUAGCGUGAAAAAAAAAAGAAGCAAAAAGCGAUUGGUGAGAAUCGAAGAGUGAAAAAGCGGUAGGUUAAUAUAAUCCUAUCAGGUUGCUAACCCAGCCCAAAAUAAGGAUUAGAAUAACAAAGAGUCAAUAGGAUAGGAUUACUAAUAGGUUAAAUUUAUCCUUUCCAAUUAUUGCACCAAACAUCGGAUAGGAACAGGAUAGGUUAAUUUUAUCAUAUCCUGUCUUCUUAUCCUGUGCACCAAACGGGCCCUAAUGGUUUAUCCUAAACUUAAGAAAAUUUUCUUAAAAACUUCAUUAAAAAAUAUUGUAUCAUUAUAUUUUAAACUAAAUAUAUUUGAUAGAGAGACUAAAACUAUUAAAUUUUAAAAUAUAGAAUAAGUUUAUAAACUAUAAAAUUGAGAGGACAACUGCUAUUAAACCUUAACUUAAUUAUUUGAGAAAAAAAACAAAGAAGAGAAAAUAAAC